UACCUUGAACAUUUGCCAAGUCGUACAUGUAUUAAGUCGCGAAACUCGUGUGACUUGUGUCGUGUGUCGUGUGAGCAGACCUUUCCUGUGGAAUAGAUGUUUUCUGGAUUCUUCUUCUGGAUAUAUACCUACGGAUACAGUAUAUUGACUUUCCCUUGUUCCCUACUGGUCUGAAGGUACAUCCCCUGCUGCUGUGAAGGGAAACUCUUAAAUGGUAGCAAUCUCCUGGUACAGGUCCCCUGCUGGUGUGAAGUGAAACAGCCCUGCUGCUGUGAAGAGAAAUCUGCUACUUGUGUGAAGGUAAACCUCCUGCUGCUGUGAAGGGAAACUCCCCUAUGUUUACAUGCUCCUGGUACAUGCUAGAAGUGUGAAAAGGGUAUCCUGUGUGUACGGUCUCCUGGUAGGAUGAAGGGAUUCCCUGUUUGCUGGAUUAUUCUGCCUAAACCGUCUCCAAGGAGGAUGAAGGGGUUUUCUACAUGAACAGUCUGCAAGGUAGGUGGUGGGGUCUUCUGCCGGAACGGUCUCCAGGUAGGGUGAAGCGGUUUUCUAAAUGAACAGUCUCCAGGUAGGGAGAGGGGGUCUUCUGCCGGAACAGUCUCCAGGUAAGGUUAAGGGGUUUUCUACAUGAACAGUCUCCAGGUAGGGUGAAGGGGUUUUCUACAUGAACAGUCUGCAUGGUAGGUGAGGGGGUCUUCUGCCGGAAAGGUCUCCAGGUAGGGAGAAGGGGUUUUCUACAUGAACAGGCUCCAGGUAGGUGAGGGGGACUUCUGCCUGUAUAGUCACCUUGUAGGAUGAAGGUAUCUUCUAUCUGUAUAAUCCCCUGGUGGGGUGAAUAGAUGAAAAGCAUGUACAGUGUACAUUCUUCUGUUUGGGUUAAGGGAUCUUCUGCCUAAACAGUCUUCAGGUAGGGUGAAGGGGUUUUCUACAUGAACAGUCUCCAGGUAGGGUGAAGGGGUCUUCUGCCUGAACAGUCUCCAGGUAGGGUGAAGGGGUCUUCUGCCUGAACAGUCUCCAGGUAGGGUGAAGGGGUCUUCUGCCUGAACAGUCUCCAGGUAGGGUGGAGGGGUUUUCUACAUGAACAGUCUGCAAGGUAGGUGAGGGGGUCUCCUGCCGGAACAGUCUCCAGGUAGGGAGAAGGGGUUUUCUACAUGAACAGUCUGCAAGGUGGGUUAAGGGCUCUCAUGCCGGAACAGUCUCCAGGUAGGGUGCAUGGGUUUUCUACAUGAACAGUCUCCAGGUAGGGUGAAGGGGUUUUCUACAUGAACGGUCUCCAGGUAGGGUGAAGGGGUUUUCUACAUGAACAGUCUCCAGGUAGGGUGAAGGGGUUUUCUACUUGAACAGUCUCCAGGUAGGGUGAGGGAGUCUUCUGCCGGAACAGUCUACAGGGAGGGUGAAGGGGUUUUCACAAUUAACAGUCUCCAGGUAGGUGCGGGGGUCUUCUGCCUGUAUAGUCACCUUGUAGGAUGAAGGUAUCUUGUAUCUGUAUAAUCCCCUGGUUGGGUGAAUAGAUGAUAAGCAUGUACAGUGUACAUUCUUCUGUUUGGGUUAAGGGAUCAUCUGCCUAAACAGUCUCCAGGUAGGGUGAAGGGGUUUUCUACAUGAACAGUCUCCAGGUAGGGUGAAGGGGUUUUCUACAUGAACAGUCUGCAAGGUAGGUGAGGGGGUCUCCUGUCGGAACAGUCUCCAGGUAGGGUCAGGGGGUCUUCUGCCUGAACAGUCUACAGGGAGGGAAGGGGUUUUCUACAUUAACAGUCUCAAGGUAGGGUGAGGGGGUUCUCUGCCUAAACAGUCUCCGGGUAGGGAGAAGGGGUUUUCUACAUGAACAGUCUGCAAGGUAGGUGAUGGGGUCUCCUGCCGGAACAGUAUCCAGGUAGGGUGAAGGUGUUUUCUACAUGAACAGUCUCCAGGUAGGGUGAAGGGGUUUUCUACAUGAACAGUCUCCAGGUAGGUUGAGGGAGUCUUCUGCCGGAACAGUCUACAGGGAGGGUGAAGGGGUCUUCUGCCUGAACAGUCUCCAGGUAGGGAGAAGGGGUUUUCUACAUGAACAGUCUCCAGGUAGGGUGAAGGGGUUUUCUACAUGAACAGUCUGCAAGGUAGGUGAGGGGAUCUUCUGCCUGAACAGUCUCCAGGUAGGGUGGAGGGUUUUUCUAUAUAAACAGCCUGCAAGGUGGGUGAGGGGCUCUCAUGCCGGAACAGUCUCCAGGUAGGGUGAGGGGGUCUCCUGCCGGAACAGUCUUCAAGUAGGUAAAGGGGUUUUCUACAUGAACAGUCUCCAGGUAGGGUGAAGGGGUUUUCUACAUGAACAGUCUUCAGGUAGGGAGAAGGGGUUUUCUACAUGAACGGUCUCCAGGUAGGGUGAAGGGGUUUUCUACAUGAACAGUCUCCAGGUAGGGGGAAGGGGUUUUCUACAUGAACAGUCUCCAGGUAGGGAGAAGGGGUUUUCUACAUGAACAGUCUCCAGGUAGGUGAGGGGGUCUCCUGCCGGAACAGUCUCCAGGUAGGGAGAAGGGGUUUUCUACAUGAACAGGCUCCAGGUAGGUGAGGGGGUCUUCUGCCUGUAUAGUCACCUUGUAGGAUGAAGGUAUCUUCUAUCUGUAUAUCCCCUGGUGGGGUGAAUAGAUGAUAAGCAUGUACAGUGUACAUUCUUCUGUUUGGGUGAAGGGAUCUUCUGCCUAAACAGUCUCCAGGUAGGGUGAAGGGUUUUUCUACAUGAACAGUCUGCAAGGUAGGUGAGGGGGUCUUCUGCCUGAACAGUCUCCAGGUAGGGUGAAGGGGUUUUCUACAUGAACAGUCUCAAGGUAGGGUGAAGGGGUUUUC